rnacentral:tRNA from 1 species
GGAAAGGGUGUGACUCAGUGGUAAAGAACAUGCUUUGCAUGCAAAAGGUCUCAGGUUCAAUCUCUGGGACCUCUG